rnacentral:rRNA from 1 species
GUUAGGAAUAUUGGACAAUGGGCGAAAGCCUGAUCCAGCCAUGCCGCGUGAACGAUGAAGGCCUUCGGGUUGUAAAGUUCUUUAGCCGAUGAUUAUAAUGACUGUAGUCGGAAAAUAAGCCCCGGCUAACUUCGUGCCAGCAGCCGCGGUAAUACGAAGGGGGCGAGCGUUAUUCGGAAUUACUGGGCGUAAAGCGUGCGUAGGCGGUUUUGUAAGUUAGGAGUGAAAGCCCAGGGCUCAACCUUGGAAUUGCUCUUAAAACUGCAAGGCUCGAAUCUCGGAGAGGAUAGCGGAAUUUCCAGUGUAGCAGUGAAAUGCGUAGAUAUUGGAAGGAACACCAGUGGCGUAAGCGGCUAUCUGGACGAGUAUUGACGCUGAGGCACGAAAGCGUGGGGAUCAAACAGGAUUAGAAACCCUUGUAGUCC